AUACAUUCCUAAUGGAACUGUCGCUGAUCAUCUUCAUGGAAGACAGUCGAACUCUGGUUUGCUCACUUGGCCUUUUCGGUUGAGCAUUGCUAUAGAGACAGCCAGUGCACUUGCAUACCUCCACGCUUCAGAUGUCAUACACCGUGAUGUCAAAACCAAUAACAUUCUCCUAGACAACGACUUCCAUGUGAAAGUGGCUGAUUUUGGUUUGUCGAGAUUGUUCCCAACUGAUGUUACUCAUGUAUCGACUGCUCCACAAGGAACGCCUGGAUAUGUUGAUCCGGAGUAUUAUCAAUGCUACCAACUGACGGACAAGAGCGACGUUUACAGCUUUGGUGUGGUCUUGAUUGAGCUGAUAUCAGCUUUAGAAGCAGUGGACACCAAUAGGCAUCGGCAUGAUAUUAAUUUGUCCAUCAUGGCAGUGAAAAAAAUCCAAAACCAUGCUUUAAAUGAGUUGGUUGAUCCAUUUCUUGGAUUUGACAAGGAUUUCGUGGUGAGGAAGAUGGUAACAUCAGUUGCAGAAUUAGCUUUCCGGUGUUUGCAACAACAGAGG
rnacentral:lncRNA from 1 species